AUUGAACGCUGGCGGCAUGCUUUACACAUGCAAGUCGAACGGUAACAGGGCCUUCGGGGCGCUGACGAGUGGCGAACGGGUGAGUAAUGCAUCGGAACGUGCCCAGAGGUGGGGGAUAACGCAGCGAAAGCUGUGCUAAUACCGCAUAUUAUCUGAGGAUGAAAGCGGGGGACUAAGCAGCAAUGUUUGGCCUCGCGCCUUUGGAGCGGCCGAUGUCAGAUUAGGUAGUUGGUGGGGUAAAGGCCUACCAAGCCGACGAUCUGUAGCUGGUCUGAGAGGACGACCAGCCACACUGGGACUGAGACACGGCCCAGACUCCUACGGGAGGCAGCAGUGGGGAAUUUUGGACAAUGGGCGCAAGCCUGAUCCAGCAAUGCCGCGUGCAGGAAGAAGGCCUUCGGGUUGUAAACUGCUUUUGUACGGAACGAAAAGGUUUGGCCUAAUAAGCUGAGCUCAUGACGGUACCGUAAGAAUAAGCACCGGCUAACUACGUC
rnacentral:rRNA from 1 species